CACGAUCAGCUUGUCCUUUUUCUCUUCCAGUUCUGGUUUCUCCUUGGUGGCCACGAUGCCGAGGAGUUGAUCUUGGAGACCCAGGGGUGUGAUCAUGAAGUUGAGGAGGCAGACUUUCACAGCAACUUCAGGGAGCUUGACCCUGAGGAUCAAUCAUUAAGGCCCAGCGUCUGGAAUUGGACACAAUGAUGCCAUUGUCAAUGGAGAAGGAGUCAAUGGGCAGCCCAGCAAUCUGCCAAGCAUGGAUUUUUAUGGGAUCCCCUAAUGUGUUGCUGAGACUGAAGUCACUGGAGCCAGGGAUGACCUUGUUCUUACAUUGGGCCAACCACUGCUUUUGGCACCGAGACCGGUAAUCUACUGUAAAAGCCCCCAAGCAAGGGUCCUGACUAAGCUCAGCCUCACCAACAGAUGCCUGCAUAUUCCUGACUGACUAGGAGGAGAGAGGAGAGUGAAGAAACAGAAGAGAACUCUUUGGAUGAACAUGCACAUCUGGCACCUUUCUUUUUCCUCCAAGACUCCAUGGCACUGCCUGUGGGCCUGGGGCAGGGUAGGUGGGGACAAUGGCACCCUUGUUGCCAGACUGUGAAGGCCUCUGGGUGGAGUGAGGUGCAG